rnacentral:rRNA from 1 species
GUGAACUCGAAGAGUAGGGCGGGACACGUGGUAUCCUGUCUGAAUAUGGGGGGACCAUCCUCCAAGGCUAAAUACUCCUGACUGACCGAUAGUGAACCAGUACCGUGAGGGAAAGGCGAAAAGAACCCCGGCGAGGGGAGUGAAAAAGAACCUGAAACCGUGUACGUACAAGCAGUGGGAGCACCUUCGGGUGUGACUGCGUACCUUUUGUAUAAUGGGUCAGCGACUUAUAUUCUGUAGCAAGGUUAACCGUAUAGGGGAGCCGCAGGGAAACCGAGUCUUAACUGGGCGUUAAGUUGCAGGGUAUAGACCCGAAACCCGGUGAUCUAGCCAUGGGCAGGUUGAAGGUUGGGUAACACUAACUGGAGGACCGAACCGACUAAUGUUGAAAAAUUAGCGGAUGACUUGUGGCUGGGGGUGAAAGGCCAAUCAAACCGGGAGAUAGCUGGUUCUCCCCGAAAGCUAUUUAGGUAGCGCCUCGUGAACUCAUCUUCGGGGGUAGAGCACUGUUUCGGCUAGGGGGUCAUCCCGACUUACCAACCCGAUGCAAACUACGAAUACCGAAGAAUGUUAUCACGGGAGACACACGGCGGGUGCUAACGUCCGUCGUGAAGAGGGAAACAACCCAGACCGCCAGCUAAGGUCCCAAAGUCAUGGUUAAGUGGGAAACGAUGUGGGAAGGCACAGACAGCCAGGAUGUUGGCUUAGAAGCAGCCAUCAUUUAAAGAAAGCGUAAUAGCUCACUGGUCGAGUCGGCCUGCGCGGAAGAUGUAACGGGGCUAAACCAUGCACCGAAGCUGCGGCAGCGACACUAUGUGUUGUUGGGUAGGGGAGCGUUCUGUAAGCCUGCGAAGGUGUGCUGUGAGGCAUGCUGGAGGUAUCAGAAGUGCGAAUGCUGACAUAAGUAACGAUAAAGCGGGUGAAAAGCCCGCUCGCCGGAAGACCAAGGGUUCCUGUCCAACGUUAAUCGGGGCAGGGUGAGUCGACCCCUAAGGCGAGGCCGAAAGGCGUAGUCGAUGGGAAACAGGUUAAUAUUCCUGUACUUGGUGUUACUGCGAAGGGGGGACGGAGAAGGCUAUGUUAGCCGGGCGACGGUUGUCCCGGUUUAAGCAUGUAGGCUGGUUAUCCAGGCAAAUCCGGAUAAUCAAGGCUGAGGUGUGAUGACGAGGCACUACGGUGCUGAAGUAACAAAUGCCCUGCUUCCAGGAAAAGCCUCUAAGCAUCAGGUAACAUCAAAUCGUACCCCAAACCGACACAGGUGGUCAGGUAGAGAAUACCAAGGCGCUUGAGAGAACUCGGGUGAAGGAACUAGGCAAAAUGGUGCCGUAACUUCGGGAGAAGGCACGCUGGUGUGUAGGUGAAGUCCCUGCGGAUGGAGCUGAGACCAGUCGAAGAUACCAGCUGGCUGCAACUGUUUAUUAAAAACACAGCACUGUGCAAACACGAAAGUGGACGUAUACGGUGUGACGCCUGCCCGGUGCCGGAAGGUUAAUUGAUGGGGUUAUCCGUAAGGAGAAGCUCUUGAUCGAAGCCCCGGUAAACGGCGGCCGUAACUAUAACGGUCCUAAGGUAGCGAAAUUCCUUGUCGGGUAAGUUCCGACCUGCACGAAUGGCGUAAUGAUGGCCAGGCUGUCUCCACCCGAGACUCAGUGAAAUUGAACUCGCUGUGAAGAUGCAGUGUACCCGCGGCAAGACGGAAAGACCCCGUGAACCUUUACUAUAGCUUGACACUGAACAUUGAGCCUUGAUGUGUAGGAUAGGUGGGAGGCUUUGAAGCGUGGACGCCAGUCUGCGUGGAGCCAACCUUGAAAUACCACCCUUUAAUGUUUGAUGUUCUAACGUUGGCCCCUGACCGGGGUUGCGGACAGUGUCUGGUGGGUAGUUUGACUGGGGCGGUCUCCUCCCAAAGCGUAACGGAGGAGCACGAAGGUUAGCUAAUCCUGGUCGGACAUCAGGAGGUUAGUGCAAUGGCAUAAGCUAGCUUGACUGCGAGCGUGACGGCGCGAGCAGGUGCGAAAGCAGGUCAUAGUGAUCCGGUGGUUCUGAAUGGAAGGGCCAUCGCUCAACGGAUAAAAGGUACUCCGGGGAUAACAGGCUGAUACCGCCCAAGAGUUCAUAUCGACGGCGGUGUUUGGCACCUCGAUGUCGGCUCAUCACAUCCUGGGGCUGAAGUAGGUCCCAAGGGUAUGGCUGUUCGCCAUUUAAAGUGGUACGCGAGCUGGGUUUAGAACGUCGUGAGACAGUUCGGUCCCUAUCUGCCGUGGGCGCUGGAGAAUUGAGGGGGGCUGCUCCUAGUACGAGAGGACCGGAGUGGACGCAUCACUGGUGUUCGGGUUGUCAUGCCAAUGGCACUGCCCGGUAGCUAAAUGCGGAAGAGAUAAGUGCUGAAAGCAUCUAAGCACGAAACUUGCCCCGAGAUGAGUUCUCCCUGAGACUUUAAGUCUCCUGAAGGAACGUUAAAGACGAUGACGUUGAUAGGCCGGGUGUGUAAGCGCAGCGAUGCGUUGAGCUAACCGGUACUAAUGAACCGUGAGGCUUAACCUU